rnacentral:rRNA from 1 species
CAGGGAUUGCCUCAGUAACGGCGAGUGAAGCGGCAAUAGCUCAAAUUUGAAAGCUGGCUCACGCCCGCGUUGUAAUUUGUAGAGGAUGCUUCGGGUGCGGUGCCGGUCUAAGUUCUUUGGAACAAGACGUCAUAGAGGGUGAGAAUCCCGUAUGUGACUGGUUGCCUGCGCCUAUGUGAAGCUCCUUCGACGAGUCGAGUUGUUUGGGAAUGCAGCUCUAAAUGGGUGGUGUACUUCAUCUAAAGCUAAAUAUUGGCUGGAGACCGAUAGCGCACAAGUAGAGUGAUCGAAAGAUGAAAAGCACUUUGGAAAGAGAGUUAAACAGUACGUGAAAUUGUUGAAAGGGAAGCGCUUGCAAUCAGACUUGCGCUGCGUCGAUCAACCUGGGUUUUCCCUGGUGCACUCGGCGCAGCUCAGGCCAGCAUCAAUUUUGGCGGCUGGAUAAAGGCCUGGAGAACGUGGGUUGCUUCGGCGAUCGUUAUAGCUUCAGGUGCAAUGCAGCCAGCUGGGAUUGAGGACCGCGCUUCGGCUAGGAUGCUGGCGUAAUGGUUGUAAGCGACCCGUCUUGAAACACGGACCAAGGAGUCUAACAUUUUUGCGAGUGUUUGGGUGUUAAACCCAUACGCGUAAUGAAAGUGAACGGAGGUGAGAACCCUUAAGGGUGCAUCAUCGACCGAUCCUGAUGUCUUCGGAUGGAUUUGAGUAAGAGCAAAACUGUUGGGACCCGAAAGAUGGUCGACUGGCAAGUUCAGCCAUCCACAACAGCCGUAUGCUGUUAGUCGGCGCUAUGCGCUGGCGACACGCCCAAGGUGCGGAGAGAGCCUGUAUUUUUCAGGCCAAUCCGCAGCCCAUCCCACUUACCCGGGGUUGGCUCAGAGACUCAAUUGGCGUGGGUCUGGCAGCGGCCAGGCUUAAGAUAGAGCCCAGCUCAGCAGGCAACCGCUGGGACUAACUGGAACUAUGCCUGAAUAGGGUGAAGCCAGAGGAAACUCUGGUGGAGGCUCGCAGCGGUUCUGACGUGCAAAUCGAUCGUCAAAUUUGGGUAUAGGGGCGAAAGACUAAUCGAACCAUUGAUACCGCUAUUAGGUGGUUGAGAGGCCCGACUGGCCUAGUCGCUUCGGCGGCUAUACUGCAAAAUUGCGGGGACGGCUCGUUAGAUUCAGGCUACCACAGCGUGUUCGAAAGGACCCGCCACGGUAACAAGGCCUGGCAUCUGAGCUCAUCCGCAACCUCAGCCUACGGCUCACUUACCUGGGGAUCACGUUCGCCUUACCCGGCAGUGACCUUCCCGGGGGUUGGCUACGGCUGCGGCUCAUCGACUAGAUGGCAGUGGGUGCCCACAGCGCCUAAGGGAUAGUCAGUCCACCGCUGGCAAGCCGUGGAGCUACG